rnacentral:tRNA from 9 species
GCGGGCAUGGCGGAACUGGCAGACGCGCCAGACUUAGGAUCUGGUGGGGUUACCCGUGGGGGUUCAAGUCCCUUUGCCCGCACCA